AUUCUUUUGCUUUUCUUUUCUUUUUUUUUACUCACAGAUCAUUCUUCAUGUGCAGCAUAUCACUAAGAAAUUCAAUACAUUUUAAAUUACAUAUAUGGCUGCUAUUUCUGAUAUCUUUAAGGAUUGGAUUAAGAUCAAAAAAUAAAGGAGAAAAACAAAAGCAAAAUAAAAGAAAAGAAAAGCAAAAGAAUAGCACCAAAAUGGGGAGGA
rnacentral:misc_RNA from 1 species